rnacentral:misc_RNA from 1 species
AAAGUCUCUUCUUAUUUGUUUGAAUUGUUAUGGAUAUUUGAAUUUGUGAAAUAAAUGGCAGAGAAGAGUAGAAGAAGAAGUGCAGAGAAUGUUUAUGUUUCAGCAAAAAAAGAAAAAAAAAAUUGUAUUGCAUUGGCUUGUAUCCAAUACUUAUCUUCUAUGCAUGUUCUUAUAGCAGAAAAUCAAAAUACAUAGUUGAAACUGAUAAGGUACUUUUGGAAGGAGAAGAAAAAUCCAACACAAAUUUUCACGAUGGGGAGAACAUCCAGG